GCCCCUACACUCUAACCACUAGGCUACCUGCCGUCCCUACACUCUAACCACUAGGCUACCUGCCGCCCCUACACUCUAACCACUAGGCUACCUGCCGUCCCUACACUCUAACCACUAGGCUACCUGCCUGCCCCUACACUCUAACCACUAGGCUACCUGCCGUCCCUACACUCUAACCACUAGGCUACCUGCCUGCCCCUACACUCUAACCACUAGGCUACCUGCCGUCCCUACACUCUAACCACUAGGCUACCUGCCUGCCCCUACACUCUAACCACUAGGCUACUUGCCGUCCCUACACUCUAACCACUAGGCUACCUGCCGCCCCUACACUCUAACCACUAGGCUACCUGCCGCCCCUACACUCUAACCACUGCCGCCCCUACACUCUAACCACUAGGCUACCUGCCGCCCCUACACUCUAACCACUGCCGCCCCUACCUAUAGAUUUUUUUAAAUAUAUAAUGUUGUACUCUUUGAACGUCUGAUUCCUCGUCUGUCCCAUAGACAAUACACUGAUCUGUGUGUCAGAUAUAUCGAUUCCCAUGCUGUCAAUCCCAGCCCUCGCCAUCGCUCCAUGCUCGUCAGACAGGAUCUCCUGUGCUGAGAGCAGGAUGGACCAGCUCUAUUGGAUCAGUGUCAACAAGCUACUUCUGAAACCACUUUACAUGUGUUCCAGUAAAGCUCUGCCAAUCCCUCUAAGGCUUGUGUGGCUCUCUGUGAAGAGGUAACAGCCUUUUGUAAAGACUCAAGCUAAGAUGGAACACUUUACUGAUCAACACACACUGUUGCUUGGAAAGGCAGUUUCACAAAAGACUUAUCUUCUUUAGAGGGUCGUCCGAAAGGUAUUGUUGUGUUAAAGGCAUUGUCCGUAUCAUAUCGUCCUCAUAUUGCUGUCACAACAACAUUCUCUUAAUACUGACUUAGAAUUACCUGUGGGAAGAAGUUGUAUGGAAAGGUCAGAGGUCAAACUAACAUGUACCCAACACUC